AUUGAACGCUGGCGGCAUGCCUUACACAUGCAAGUCGAACGGCAGCGCGGACUUCGGUCUGGCGGCGAGUGGCGAACGGGUGAGUAAUGUAUCGGAACGUACCAUUGAGUGGGGGAUAACGUAGCGAAAGUUACGCUAAUACCGCAUAUUCCCUCCGGAGGAAAGCAGGGGACCGCAAGGCCUUGCGCUCUUUGAGCGGCCGAUAUCAGAUUAGCUAGUUGGUGGGGUAAAAGCUCACCAAGGCGACGAUCUGUAGCGGGUCUGAGAGGAUGAUCCGCCACACUGGAACUGAGACACGGUCCAGACUCCUACGGGAGGCAGCAGUGGGGAAUUUUGGACAAUGGGGGCAACCCUGAUCCAGCCAUGCCGCGUGAGUGAAGAAGGCCUUCGGGUUGUAAAGCUCUUUCGGCCGGGAAAAAAUCGCAUGGAUUAAUACUCUGUGUGGAUGAUGGUACCGGAAUAAGAAGCACCGGCUAACUACGUGCCAGCCGCCGCAGUAA
rnacentral:rRNA from 1 species